rnacentral:rRNA from 1 species
CACGCAUGACACACUGCAUAUCAAUAAGCGGAGGAAAAGAAACUAACAAGGAUUCCCUUAGUAACGGCGAGUGAAGCGGGAAGAGCUCAAAUUUGAAAUCUUCAAGGUUUUACCUUGACGAAUUGUAGUUUAAAGAAGUGUUUUCUGUUGAAGUUUUGGUAAAAGUUCUUUGGAAUAGGACAUCAUAGAGGGUGAGAAUCCCGUAUUUGACCAUUAUUUUCCAGCUGUGUGAUACACUUUCAAAGAGUCGGAUUGUUUGGGAAUGCAGUCCAAAAUGGGUGGUAAAUUUCAUCUAAAGCUAAAUAUUGGCGAGAGACCGAUAGCGAACAAGUACCGUGAGGGAAAGAUGAAAAGAACUUUGAAAAGAGAGUUAAACAGUACGUGAAAUUGUCAAAAGGGAAGCGUUUGACACCAGUGUUGUUUUCUCGAAAAUCAAUUAAAAAUGAUGGGAUUUUGUGUUGUAUUGACUUUAUCAAGCUUUCUUCACUUUUUUCUUAGUCUUUUUUAAUGCACUUUUCGUUUAACAAGUCAACAUCAGUUUCUUUUGUUGUAAAAGAGUCAUUGGAAGGUGGCUUUUUCUUCGGAGAAAGUGUUUAUAGCCUUUGGCUCUCUGCAAUCGGAGAGAUUGAGGUCUGCAGCGUAGAUCCUUCGGGGUUAAAUACAUUUGUGCUAAGCUAUAGUUCUUUAUAGACAACUUGUUGACUAUAAUCUAGUCCUGUAGCUUACUCGCUUAUGCUAUUUUACCUACGCUUAGGAUGUUGAACUACUGAGACAUAGA